rnacentral:lncRNA from 1 species
GGAGGCCGCAGCCUGAUGGUGAGGCCAGCCAGACAGAAGACGUGGAUGGCACCUGGGGCUCUUCAGCAGCCAGGUGGAGCGAUCAGGGGCCAGCACAGACUUCUCGGCGACCCUCCCAAGGCCCUCCUGCCAGAUCCCCCAGUCAGGACUUCUCCUUCAUUGAGGACACCGAGAUCCUCGACAGUGCCAUGUAUCGGAGCCGUGCCAACUUGGGGCGCAAGCGUGGGCACCGGGCCCCGGUCAUUCGGCCUGGGGGUACCUUGGGCCUGUCGGAGGCAGCAGACUCGGAUGCACACCUGUUCCAGGACUCUACAGCCACGGGCAUCUCGGGUGCCAUCUUCAGAUGAAGAGGUAGUGGAGGAACCUCAGAGCCGCCGGACACGGAUGUCGUUGGGCACCAAGGGGCUGAAAGUCAACCUCUUUCCUGGCCUGAGCCCCUCAGCCCUGAAGGCCAAGCUGCGCCCCCGGAAUCGCUCAGCUGAGGAGGGAGAGCUGGCUGAGAGCAAGUCGAGCCAGAAGGAGUCCGCGGUCCAGCGUUCGAAAUCCUGCAAGGUCCCAGGACUGGGAAAGCCCCUCACGUUACCUCCCAAGCCAGAGAAAUCCUCAGGGUCAGAAGGAUCGUCGCCCAACUGGCUUCAAGCCCUGAAACUGAAGAAGAAGAAGGUCUGAGAAGUCACUGAGGUUCUUCCCACCUGGCAGUCUCAGGCAGUGCCCAUUCCUGUGGGGUCCCUGGGUGAGGAGACGGCUGGAGCCCCACCAUGCCCCAGGCUGCAGCCUCUGUCCCCUCCACCUCUGAGGAGCGUCUGGGGAGGCACAUUUAUGCACUUUGUAUCACCCUCCGAACUCCCCCCACACCUUCCCUUCCCUGGAUUUCAUCACUAGUGGUUGAAGGUUUUGUCCCUUCCUCUCCUCCUUCCCUCUCCCUCUCUGCUUCCUCCUCCAGCCUCCCUUGGGUUUUCUUUUGAUACCAAUUUAUAGCAUUUUUUAUAAAAGCCUUUGAUUUUUAUAAUGGGUGGGACUGUAUCCCUGCCUCACCCCAGGUCUCCGUCUGCCCCGCCAGGUACCCCACAGAGACCAAUGACAUUUUGCCACUUGAAACAAUAAAUAAAGUUUUUUG